rnacentral:rRNA from 1 species
GACGAACGCUGGCGGCGUGCUUAACACAUGCCAGUCGAACGGAAAGGCCCUGCUUUUGUGGGGUGCUCGAGUGGCGAACGGGUGAGUAACACGUGAGUAACCUGCCCUUGACUUUGGGAUAACUUCAGGAAACUGGGGCUAAUACCGGAUAGGAGCUCCUGCUGCAUGGUGGGGGUUGGAAAGUUUCGGCGGUUGGGGAUGGACUCGCGGGUUAUCAGCUUGUUGGUGGGGUAGUGGAUUACCAAGGCUUUGACGGGUAGCCGGCCUGAGAGGUUGACCGGCCACAUUGGGACUGAGAUACGGCCCAGACUCCUACGGGAGGCAGCAGUGGGGAAUAUUGCACAAUGGGCGGAAGCCUGAUGCAGCAACGCCGCGUGCGGGAUGACGGCCUUCGGGUUGUAAACCGCUUUCGCCUGUGACGAAGCGUGAGUGACGGUAAUGGGUAAAGAAGCACCGGCUAACUACGUG